AACAUCAUCAUCAUCAUCAUCAUCAUCAUCAUCAUCAUCGUCGUCGUCUCCCGUCUGGUCAUUUCCGGCGAACAGAUAAAACAUGACGUUCAAGAUCCAGCGCGAGCCGGAGAACAGGAGGCGGCGAGUGAGGCGCCGGGAAGUAAAAGGUGCGCCGCCACGUGGAGUCCCGGCGUUGCCGCCGGCGCGGACGCCGCUCCCCCGGAGCCCUCGAGUGGAGAGUUUAUAAAAGGGCGCGGCGCGGCGUGGCGGUACGUAGUGUUUAGUGUCUGUGGAGCGCCGCGCCGGCCCGGUCAGGUCUUGGUGUGGCGGUGCUGGGUGCCGGUGGUGGAGGAGGAGCGGGUGUUGCUGGCCGGGGUGCGGGCCUGGGCGGCCGCCAGCGCCGCCACGCUGCGCAGGACGCGGUCGGGCGUGCCCUCGGCGUCGCUGCGGUCCUGCUUGUGGGGGCGUGUCUCGCCCGGCGUCCUCGUCCUCCGCUCGGCGUCCGGCCCGGUGCUGUGGGAGCUGCGGCUGCUGCUGCUGCUGCGGCUCCGGCUGCUCGGCGCGCCGCGGUCGCUGCUGCUGACGCUGCUGCAGGCGCUGUGCGCCCGGGACGGCCGCCGCUCGUCCUCGCCGUCCUCCUUCUUUGCCGCCUUCUUCUCGUCCUUUUUGGACCGCUUGGCGCCCAGGGGCGGCACCAGGUUGCCGGGCCGCUGGCGGGUGGAGCGAGGCUUGGACUCGGGCGGGGCCAGGGAGGGUUCCGGAAGCGCUCUGCCUCUCGCCUUGCCGCUCUUGUCGGAUGAGGAGGGCGACGCCGCCUUGUGGACGCCGGCUCUGGGCCUGCCGGGACCGGGCCCGUCCCCGGCCCGUCCCCUCAUGGCCAGCAGCUUGGCGGCGGCGUUCAGGGCGGAGCAGCGCUUUCCUAGAACCUCGGGCUGCGGCGACGGGGCGGCGGGAGAUUUGGAGGACUUCCUGGUGACCCUGGUUUCACCGCCCGACUCGCCACCUUGGUCCUUGUUGGACUGCGGUCCUUUCCGCUUGACCGCGCCCUCGUUCUGGUUCUCGGACUCCUGUCUUCUCUGUCCCGACCGAGUGAGACGCCGCAGCUGGGGUCCGGUGGAGUCUUCAGAGUCCGUGGAGCUGGACGGCGAACGAGACCUUUGUUUUGGUGUCUUGGCACCAUCUUGGGGUUCAGGGUUCACGUCCACUCUCCUGACCUUGGCAGAUCUUACCGAGCGGGUUCCAGUGGACGAGUCGGAGCAUGGUGAGCACGGUGAAGAAGAUCGGAUGCUCUCUUGACUGCUCUGUCUGCUCAGAGCUCUUUUCUGGCUGGGGACUGGUCCAUCGUUAUGGUCUGUAGGACUCUGCUCUGUGUCCUGGACAGAAUCUUCAUUAUUUGGAGGAGCAGCGUCAGGAACCAGGGACACGAACUCCUGAUCAGACAUGCUGUCUACUUUACUGCUCCUUGAUGGACCUCCAUCUUUCUCCGUGUCCUCUACGGUGUCUUCGUCCAUGGGCUGGUCUGCAACUUCCUGCUUGGUGGGUUCAGGCUGCUGGGAGACCUCCACGGCUGGGACCGCCUGAGGGUCACCGGAUGUGUCCUGCAGGCUUUCUGGAUUGGCCGCAGUCGGAGGACUCGGGGAAUGAAGUUCGGAUGAAGGUGCAGGUGUUGCGGCGAGCUCGUGGUGAAGCGGUGUCGGCG
ensembl:lncRNA